UAGGCAAUGGGUGAAACUGACUGUCAUCCGAGUACACGAACAAGGUCCAUAUCUUUCGCCGAAUAUUUACAGGUCAGCGAGAUGGGGAUGCAAAUACUUCAUAAAAUGAUUUGCACACUACUAUUCAUUGAGGCCAAAGCAAGUUCCACGUUGAAAGAUGACCAAAUCGGGUAUCCGAUGGUAGUGAUUUGAAUCGUAAUUACCAUUGUUCGUCAAGAGAAAAAUACCAUGUCAUGUCAUCUGUCAAAUGGAUGAAGAAUCAUGGAGGGUACUGACAUCAAGACAAUGUAAUGACCUGGAGAAAAAUGGCUUUAUUUAUAAGUAGGAAUAAAAGACUGAGGGGUUUAAAAGGUAAAGGCCUUAAAGUAAUGAGAUUGAUCAUAGAGACUGCCGGCAAAUAUAUUCCAUCAAGAGAAGCCAAGCUCAGUCAGUGAGAGACUCCGAGCAAAAGACAACUUCUUGAUUUACUAUUAUCCUUGAUAGAGAGGUUGAUGACUUUGUUGUACUUUGAAGGCUAAUGUUAUGAAUUCUGGAUCUUCCAAUGUCCAAGCUUGCACAAAAAGAAGAGGAA